GAUGAACGCUGGCGGCGUGCCUAAUACAUGCAAGUCGAGCGAACAGAUGAGGAGCUUGCUCCUCUGACGUUAGCGGCGGACGGGUGAGUAACACGUGGAUAACCUACCUAUAAGACUGGGAUAACUUCGGGAAACCGGAGCUAAUACCGGAUAAUAUAUUGAACCGCAUGGUUCAAUAGUGAAAGACGGUUUUGCUGUCACUUAUAGAUGGAUCCGCGCCGCAUUAGCUAGUUGGUAAGGUAACGGCUUACCAAGGCAACGAUGCGUAGCCGACCUGAGAGGGUGAUCGGCCACACUGGAACUGAGACACGGUCCAGACUCCUACGGGAGGCAGCAGUAGGGAAUCUUCCGCAAUGGACGAAAGCCUGACGUAGCAACGCCGCGUGAGUGAUGAAGGUCUUCGGAUCGUAAAACUCUGUUAUUAGGGAAGAACAAAUGUGUAAGUAACUAUGCACGUCUUGACGGUACCUAAUCAGAAAGCCACGGCUAACUACGUG
rnacentral:rRNA from 1 species